AUUGAACGCUGGCGGCAGGCCUAACACAUGCAAGUCGAGCGGAUGAAGGGAGCUUGCUCCUGGAUUCAGCGGCGGACGGGUGAGUAAUGCCUAGGAAUCUGCCUGGUAGUGGGGGAUAACGUCCGGAAACGGGCGCUAAUACCGCAUACGUCCUGAGGGAGAAAGUGGGGGAUCCUCGGACCUCACGCUAUCAGAUGAGCCUAGGUCGGAUUAGCUAGUUGGUGGGGUAAAGGCCUACCAAGGCGACGAUCCGUAACUGGUCUGAGAGGAUGAUCAGUCACACUGGAACUGAGACACGGUCCAGACUCCUACGGGAGGCAGCAGUGGGGAAUAUUGGACAAUGGGCGAAAGCCUGAUCCAGCCAUGCCGCGUGUGUGAAGAAGGUCUUCGGAUUGUAAAGCACUUUAAGUUGGGAGGAAGGGCAGUAAGUUAAUACCUUGCUGUUUUGACGUUACCAACAGAAUAGGCACCGGCUAACUUCGUG
rnacentral:rRNA from 1 species